UGGCUCAGAUUGAACGCUGGCGGCAUGCCUUACACAUGCAAGUCGAACGGCAGCACGGGUGCUUGCACCUGGUGGCGAGUGGCGAACCGGGUGAGUAAUACAUCGGAACAUGUCCUGUAGUGGGGGAUAGCCCGGCGAAAGCCGGAUUAAUACCGCAUACGAUCUAUGGAUGAAAGCGGGGGACCUUCGGGCCUCGCGCUAUAGGGUUGGCCGAUGGCUGAUUAGCUAGUUGGUGGGGUAAAGGCCUACCAAGGCGACGAUCAGUAGCUGGUCUGAGAGGACGACCAGCCACACUGGGACUGAGACACGGCCCAGACUCCUACGGGAGGCAGCAGUGGGGAAUUUUGGACAAUGGGCGAAAGCCUGAUCCAGCAAUGCCGCGUGUGUGAAGAAGGCCUUCGGGUUGUAAAGCACUUUUGUCCGGAAAGAAAUCCUUGGCUCUAAUACAGUCGGGGGAUGACGGUACCGGAAGAAUAAGCACCGGCUAACUACGUGCCAGCAGCCGCGGUAAUACGUAGGGUGCAAGCGUUAAUCGGAAUUACUGGGCGUAAAGCGUGCGCAGGCGGUUUGCUAAGACCGAUGUGAAAUCCCCGGGCUCAACCUGGGAACUGCAUUGGUGACUGGCAGGCUAGAGUAUGGCAGAGGGGGGUAGAAUUCCACGUGUAGCAGUGAAAUGCGUAGAGAUGUGGAGGAAUACCGAUGGCGAAGGCAGCCCCCUGGGCCAAUACUGACGCUCAUGCACGAAAGCGUGGGGAGCAAACAGGAUUAGAUACCCUGGUAGUCCACGCCCUAAACGAUGUCAACUAGUUGUUGGGGAUUCAUUUCCUUAGUAACGUAGCUAACGCGUGAAGUUGACCGCCUGGGGAGUACGGUCGCAAGAUUAAAACUCAAAGGAAUUGACGGGGAGCCGCACAAGCGGUGGAUGAUGUGGAUUAAUUCGAUGCAACGCGAAAAACCUUACCUACCCUUGACAUGGUCGGAAUCCUGCUGAGAGGCGGGAGUGCUCGAAAGAGAACCGGCGCACAGGUGCUGCAUGGCUGUCGUCAGCUCGUGUCGUGAGAUGUUGGGUUAAGUCCCGCAACGAGCGCAACCCUUGUCCUUAGUUGCUACGCAAGAGCACUCUAAGGAGACUGCCGGUGACAAACCGGAGGAAGGUGGGGAUGACGUCAAGUCCUCAUGGCCCUUAUGGGUAGGGCUUCACACGUCAUACAAUGGUCGGAACAGAGGGUUGCCAACCCGCGAGGGGGAGCUAAUCCCAGAAAACCGAUCGUAGUCCGGAUUGCACUCUGCAACUCGAGUGCAUGAAGCUGGAAUCGCUAGUAAUCGCGGAUCAGCAUGC
rnacentral:rRNA from 1 species